GAAUUUAUGUAUUCUUUUAUUUUGAUUUAUGGAAAUUUUGGAGCUUAACCUUUUCCAUUUGUGUAUUCUACAUAUAAUUGUUUGAUAUGCUGACUAUGAAUACCCCGGCUGUACAGCUAUUACUAUAGAUGACUUGAAUCCCUCCACAUUCAAAUCUGAACUAUCCAUGUACAAGCUACUGGUCAGAUGUUCUACUGAAAAGCAAUAAACCUUCGACCUCUGCUAUAGCAAAUGUUUACCUUGCUGUUCUAUUGGACACCAUGAACAUCUUGGACCACAUACAUGCAAUACAAUAAUGAUGAAGACCUUUGACACAUUGGGACCUCUCUGCCCUCCAUUAAAGACAUCUUUAUAACGGGUUACCUCUGCCAAGCCUAUAGCAUUGUGAAGUAGUGCUCCAACCCCACCAUGGUCUCUUUUUUUUGUCCCACUUCCAUCUGGCAGAAGGCACUGUAGUUUUCAUACCAGUUCUGCAACAGCUUCUACCUCUUUGCUGUCCAAAGCCUGAACUCUGUGCUGCCCCCUGCCCUCAGAUCUGUUCCUAGUAGCUUGUUUAUAUGCAAUCCUUUUGUUACACUUGUUGUUUA